rnacentral:rRNA from 1 species
AUGGGGACCUUGUUGCGACUAUUGAAUGAAUGGGAGAUCCAACUGCUUGUGCUUCUCAGUUUCAUGCUACAAAUAUUCCUCUUUUUUACUGGCAGCCUUCGACGACGUGGCGCUAAGUUUCUUAGUGGCAUCAUUUGGAUAGCUUAUUUAGUGGCAGACAUGGUAGCAGUUUACACCCUUGGUUUACUCUCAAAACAAGCGGAAAACACCACCCAACUGACAGAAAACCACCCACUAGCUUUCUUUUGGGCACCCUUCCUACUGCUUCAUCUUGGCGGACAGGACACCAUCACUGCUUUUUCCUUGGAGGACAACAGUUUGUGGUUGAGGCAUUUGUUAAAUUUGAUAGUCCAAGUGGUCCUAGCCUUGUAUGUCUUCUGGAAGUCUACUGCUUGGCGAAAUGUGCAGAUUCUUGUUCCGGGCAUCUUUAUGUUUGUUGCUGGAAUCAUUAAGUAUGGGGAGAGGACGAUCGCUCUCAUGUACGGGAACUUACAAAACAUCAGUGGCUACAAUAGUAAUGAAGAAGAAAAUAGGUUGACUCAUCCAGAACUAGAGGAGGAUGCUAGCUACUCUAGCAUUAUUAGUUUUUCCUUGGAUUCAGCUCCAAUAGUUCGACACUUAUUUGCUGGAUUUACACUCUUCCAGAUACCAGAAGGCUUCCGCGCAACAACUUGGACGAGAGCUAUGCUCGAUCACAUCAAGUCCAACAGGCCAAGUUGGCCAAGUUGGUUCAUGUUGAACUAG